GUUUUGGUAACAUCUCAGCGAUCAUUAGCUCAGAUCUUGGACUAAAGAUCAGAGGCAGAACAAAGAGACCUGCUCUAGCUUGCCUAUUCUUGGGUUCCACACUGGCUUUGCCUGGACUUCCAAGCUGAGAGUAUCUCCCUGCUCCAGCAUCAUCCUACCACAACUUCAUCAUGAAAUGGAAGAAGGAGAGCAGAGAGAGAAGAAAGAUAAAAAUCAUGAAGAGGAAGAAGAAAACCCAUACUGAACUCACCAGGGGCAACUGAAAAGUAGCUUAAGCAAGGAUUUUCACAUUUGGACUUGGGGAUGAGAACGACUUGAAGAUCACUUCAGAGACGGACACUCCUCCAAAGGAAGAAAGAACGAAAACUGUCUCAAAGACCAUGGCACGCAAGCAGAAAGGAGGAGCCCUGGAAAGUUUAGACAAGCAUUUUCCAAAGUGUGCUCUGUGGAAUAUUACUUCUGAGUGAUUGUAAUAGGCAUGGCAUUAAAAAAAAAAAAAAGAAGAAGCGAGCAAAAUGGGUCUGAAUAUCAAAUAAGUUUGUAAAAUGCUGGGUUGCACAAAGCUAAACAAAUUCCUUUAUUGCACAACUCUUUAGAUCCUUUGUGGGCUCUGAAAGGGAUUGCGAAUCUCAGAAUUUGUGUGUGGG